CAGAAGGAGGAUGGUCUGCUUACUGCGGUUGACCACGGGUAACUGAGCCUCAGAAGGCAAAACUGAAGAUAAGGGGAGCUGCCAUAUGAAGACAUUGAGGCUCAGAGAGCUGGAGUAACAUGCAGCUGCUAAGUGGUAGAAAGAACAAAGGAUUCUGAGGCCUACGUGCAAUGCAAUGCCUUAUCAGAGAACAUGAGGGGACCUCAGCGAAGCCUCCUUCUCUCAGCCAUUUAAGAUUUUUAUUACUACUAUUUGCAAGGUCACCCAUCCACUCCCAGCACAGCCUGGGGAGGGGAGGAUCACACCCUCUGAGCUGAGAUGGCAGCUGUCUCAAACAGGGAGAUCAAAUCCCAACCUCAAGACCCACUGGCAAAUUAAGCCCUUCUUGCCGGCACAGCAGAUGAAUGGGCGACCCAGGAAAACUGCAGUCAAAGAAACGUCUUGUAACAGUUCUAACUUUGGUUUGGCAUGUCACCUCUGUAACGAUAUCAGGGAGAGGAAAUAUUCCGUCAAAGCUGUGAGCGUGGAAGGAAACAGCCUGGAUGGUGUCCAAAGACACACAGUAUCUUAGCAACUUCUGAAGUUCAGAAAAGCCAACAUUUCAGUUUGGGAAGCCGUCUGGUAGAAGUUCCGUCCUACCCCACCACAAUCACUGAAAGACACACCUUAAGGUGGAAGUGGCCAUCGUUUUCAGGAUCUACUACCCAAGCUGCUGAAAUGAAGUGGCUGUCAGGGGCAGGCAGCUCUUGUCGAGAAAACAAAGCAAAACACUACUGCCAGAAACAUAUGAAAAUAGGGAUAACCAGGUAGAUAUGAUGCCUGGAGCUGCAACAGCUAUAUUGCUACAAUGAGGCAGCAAAACCAAGGGGUAAAAAACCCUAAAGCACCAAGAGGGGCAAAGCAGAGAAAAAGGAAGAAUUCAUGCCAUGGAUGUCAUCACCGAGCAGCAUCAUCAGUGCCAGUUUCUGUAAACCUUGGGUAUCCAGCUAGCUAUGUAAGGAACAUAGAGCCUUGCAGUUUUGUAAACCACUGUUAGCAUUC